ensembl:snRNA U6 U6 spliceosomal RNA
GUGCUCGCUUCGGCAGCACAUAUACUAAAAUUGGAACGAUACAGAGAAGAUUAGCAUGGCCCCUGCGCAAGGAUGAGAAGAAUCAAUAUAGUGAAAAUGAGUAUACUA